rnacentral:rRNA from 1 species
AUUGAACGCUGGCGGCAGGCCUAACACAUGCAAGUCGAACGGUAACAGGAAACAGCUUGCUGUUUCGCUGACGAGUGGCGGACGGGUGAGUAAUGUCUGGGAAACUGCCUGAUGGAGGGGGAUAACUACUGGAAACGGUAGCUAAUACCGCAUAACGUCGCAAGACCAAAGAGGGGGACCCUCGGGCCUCUUGCCAUCGGAUGUGCCCAGAUGGGAUUAGCUUGUAGGUGGGGUAACGGCUCACCAAGGCGACGAUCCCUAGCUGGUCUGAGAGGAUGACCAGCCACACUGGAACUGAGACACGGUCCAGACUCCUACGGGAGGCAGCAGUGGGGAAUAUUGCACAAUGGGCGCAAGCCUGAUGCAGCCAUGCCGCGUGUAUGAAGAAGGCCUUCGGGUUGUAAAGUACUUUCAGCGGGGAGGAAGGGAGUAAAGUUAAUACCUUUGCUCAUUGACGUUACCCGCAGAAGAAGCACCGGCUAACUCCGUG